AUAAACUUACAAUCUAUGAUUCAGAUGGACUGAUAUCAGAGCAGCGGACUCUACAGUUGACUAUUCAAGGUGAGGAAACCUCCUGUGAUGGCAGACAGGAUGGAGCUCAGUGUUACGGAGUUUUGGGAGGAACUGUGGUCCUCCGGCUGAUGGACAGCGCCUCAGAAAUAUUUAGAUAACAAUGGUCAAACAAAACAACAGUAAUACUCUAUGGGAGAAAGAAUCAGAUUGUGUCUAAUGAGAUAGAAAACAGAUCAUCAUUUACUCCCAGUGAUGGAACAUUUAGGAUCAAUAACCUGAGCUGGAGUGAUGAAGGAGAAUAUAAUCUUGAAAUCUAUGAUUCAGAUGGACGAAUCACAGAGCAGCAGACUCUACAGCUGACCAUUCAAGGUGUGGAAACCUCCUGUGAUGGCAGACAGGAUGGAGCUCAGUGUUAUGGAGCUUUGGGAGGAACUGUGGUCCUCCGGCUGAUGGACAGCGCCUCAGAAAUAUUUAGAUACCAAUGGUCAAACAAAACAACAGUAAUACUCAGUGGGAGAGAGAAUCUGAUUGUGUCUAAUGUGAUAGAGAACAGAUCAUCAUUUACUCCCAGUGAUGGAACAUUUAGGAUCAAUAACCUGAGCUGGAAUGAUGGUGGGGAAUAUACUCUUAUAACCUUUGAUUCAGAAGGGCGGAGAUCAGAGCAGCGGACUCUACUGUUGACAAUUCAAGGAUGAUAGCUUUUUUAACGACUGAGAAAAUGAGUAUUACUGAUAGACAUUCAUGUCAUAUUCUACUGCUCAACUACAUGUGUCUCAUAUUCUACAUAUAUCUGUAUCUAUGCCUGGCCUGUUCUGUCAUGUAAUUUCCCAGCAAUGUAUUGAAAAUAAAAAGAUGUCACACUGUG